UUGGCCUGUAUUUGUUGAACUAAAAAAAAAUUUUUUUAAAUAAACCUAAAAAGAGAUUUUUGAUAAAUCUUAUAUGAUAUAUAUUUAUAUAGGUAUGUACACUUAUACAUUUAUUUUGUGCAUUUCUUUACACAUAUAUGAAGCAAGUCUUUGUCUGUUUUAAUUACGAGAUAACUUUCCCAGAGAUUUUUCUGUUGUUAAAUAAAAUUAAUUUUUAAAGAACCAAAUUCAGAAAUGAAUAACACCUCAAAAGAGAUCUGGCAGAAAAGGAAGUUAUACGGUCAGGACAGGAGCAAACAGAGGGAAAAAGGUUUCUAGGCCCUCCCUCUCCUCCUGGGAGACACAGAUAAAGGAGGAGUAGUCUAUGAUCCAGUGGGAUGGACACUGAGUCAGAUUCUUUAGGUGAUUAAAUGACACAAAGUACAAAAAAGUAAGAUAUUGGCUGAGAAUCAAGGUAGAUUAUAAAAGACUGUGCAUAGGAAAGGAGAGCCUGCUAGCAAAGAUACUGGACUUUUUUUUUUCCCCCACUCUUCUCUUGAAAAUGAGCCAUAGAAAAAUGGGAAUAGAAGUACUUUUAUCUAAAAAGAAAGAAAUGAAUUCAUGUAAUUUCUGGGUCAUCACAAUUGCUCAGUGACCAGUCCCAACUCCACCCUCACAGAGGAAAAAAAAAGGGGCUAAUGGUUUUGUAUGUGUCUUUUUAUCUGGUGGAGACUGAAAUACCCUCAGCUGAGACUGGGAGAGACAGGGGGAUACCCACCGCCCCCCUCUGCCAGUGCAGCUUCAACUUGGGAGUGGUCUGGGAGCAUGGAGGGGUUUGCUCUCCCCUUCAGUAGUCCUGUGCCGUAGGACUGCAAGAUGUUAUCACAAGUUCUGAAGGACCAAAAGCAUUAAGUGCUGCAAAGAGAGCCCCUGUGGAGCGCCCCCUCCUCUCCUUCUCAAGAUCCUGACAGGAAGAGGCUGCCUUUUGUCACAGUUUGACUGACUGGUGUGAGUGACACUGAAAUGCUCCAUCCUGCUCAGCCUGAAACACAGUGGCACUAAUCCUAAAGGACAAACAAAACAAAGUUUUUUUUUUUUUUAAAGUAAAUGGCUUGGAGAGAAACUGGCCAAAGCCCCCACCAAAGAAGGAAUGAAGAGCAUCUUCUUUCUGAAUGGCAGCUAGGAAGGGGCCUAUCAAUCAAUCUGGUGGUCUCCACACACCUGCAAACUAUUCCUACCAAUGAGACUUUACAAACCUAUUAUGAUGCAAAGUUGUGACUCAGAAUCAUAUCUCCAUAAAGCUUUUCUGCUCCUCAGAAGCCCAGGUCAAUUGAGGGCAAGCAAGUUGCACAAACCUGCAGGCUUUAAGGAGAACCUUAGGGCUCAGCGAAAGAGCUUUCCUUUUUCUGCUUUUAUGUAGCAGAUUGCCUUCUGCAGCCUUGGCUGUGAUCUCAGCUCCUCUCACUCUCCGUCUUGGCUAUCUGCCUGGUCUCCUGCUGUCCUCAUCUGUAGGAGCUACACAGCUCAGCAAGAGACCGUUCUUAGUGUACCCAUCACAGCACUGGAAGAAAAAGAAUACUGAGAUACUUGCCUGUGAAGCAAAAGAACCUCCCAUUGGAAUGAGGAAUUCAUUCUUUUAAGAACUGAUUUACAAAAGGAAACCUCCCCAAACUAAAAGCCUAGAUGAAAAAGCACCAUGUCUUAAAAGGAACAGUUUUGUUUUUUUUUAAACUAAAGUGAAACACAUGUGAGAAGAAUGAAAGAAAUGCCCUCUCACCAGCUGCUGAUUGGUUUUUCAGUUUGGUUGAGUGUUUAGAAAUUCAGAGUAAUUCUUUGCUAGAUAUUAUAUACUAAUGUCUUCCAACUAAGACGAAAAUAUUUAACUAUGCAGUACUCUGUGUGAUUGCUAUUACUUAUUCUGGAAUUACUGUUUUAUUUGAUAAUUAUAUAACAGGAUAAGAUAUAUGAAGACAGAGGUCCUGAUGUGUAAAUAGGCAGAUCCUUCUGGUAAUUAUACUGUUUAUCAGAGACCUGCUGUUUUAUUGAUGUUUAUUCUUUGUAAUAGGGUCAAUAUUUCUUGUUCUGUGUUCAGAAAUAAGAGCAUCAAAAUGCCACUCACCUGUGACACUAUUUUGACACGGUUUAUGUUUACUGCUAAUUGAAUUAUGAAACUUGAACAUUUUUGGAAAAAUACAUGCUCUACAAUACAUAAUAUGAGUCUUAAGUAUUAAGGAGAAGAUUAAAGCCUUGGUCACUUUCAAUAAGUGCCUUAUCAAUUAUACCUUUAAUUAUUGUUAUAUAUUAAAAUAUGCUAUUUAAGUGAGUGUUAAUGGAGGAGUGAGUGUUUUAAUGAAAAGUAGAUUCUUCAAGUUUAUACGAUGCUAACACUGUGAUGAUUGCUUCUUGAACAUAUACAUUAAAUAUCUUGUAUAAACACACAAAAAUUGGAGUUCAAAUCUUAAUAGAAUAGGUUUGUUUUCAUCCUCUGGGAAAUAAGGAAGGAUAGAUAUUGCUGAGUUCAUAGUAGGUGUUAAAUAAAUAUCUGUUGAUUGGUUAAGUAUUGACAGAAGAAAGCAAGGAAAUAAUUUAAACUUUGUUAUGUCAUAACUGUGACUUGAAUAAUAAUCCUUGGAUUGAGUACUAUAGUCACCUAUUGCACGGUUUAAAAUCCAGAUAAUAUAAGGCAAUUUUUACCUGUCUUUGGUAAGUUUCUCCUUGAAACUGAUUUUCCUUGUCUUUAAUUUUUUAGGGAAAAAAAUAAAGUAUAAUUUACCUCUAGGGAGCAGAGAGACUUCCAUUAUCUCAUGACAACAAGACGGUCAAUAGUACUGUAAGUUCUUAGUGCAUAAAUCAUACUCUGAAGGCACUUCAGAAAUACAGAAGUCAUUUUAGCCAGUCUCCAGGACUCUCAUUUCUGUGAUUGGAAUCAGAAGCAGAGACAAAAAAGAAAUAUUUCCAAAAGUUCUUUUGAAUUAAAAAUAUUGCUUGAAUUCUAGUCUCUUUUAAAACUUAAGGAUAAUUAUAGUCACCUCUUAUGAAACUUGACUGUUUUUAAGCAUAAAUGUGUGAAAUACUACUAUUGCUAUGUAGUACCGUUUUUAUACUCUCAAGUGUUUGGUUAAAAGUUAAAGUCAACACAGUACAGCAAGACCUCCAUUUUAGUUUCAACUCUGCCCCAACUAUGCAUCCUGAGCAAAUUAUUUACUCUGUCUUCACUUGUGAAAUUAAAUCAGAUUAGACAAUCUCCAGUGAAUCUCUUAUUCAAUAUUUCAGAGUUGUGUGAUGUUUCCCUUAAUAAUAAUUCAUGUAUUUUUUGUACAUGGAGAGCUCCUUAUGUGCCAGUAAGCAUGCUAAGUGUUUUACCUUCAUUUUCUUAUUAAAUUAAUGAUUAUUAAUGC